rnacentral:rRNA from 1 species
GGAUCCAGACUUUGAUUCUGCUCAGGAUAAACGCUGGCGGCGCACAUAAGACAUGCAAGUCGAACGGAAGUCGUUGUAAUGAUAUAGACAUGGACUGAGAACUUGUUCAAAGAAAGUGAAAGUUGACUUACAACAAUGGCUUUAGUGGCGGACUGGUGAGUAACACGUAAGCAACCUGCCUAUCAGAGGGGAACAACAGUUAGAAAUGACUGCUAAUACCGCAUAUGCCUAAGUAUCACAUGAUACAAUAGGGAAAGGAGCAAUCUGCUGAUAGAUGGGCUUGCGUCUGAUUAGAUAGUUGGUGGGGCAACGGCCUACCAAGUCGACGAUCAGUAGCCGGACUGAGAGGUUGAACGGCCACAUUGGGACUGAGAUACGGCCCAGACUCCUACGGGAGGCAGCAGUCGGGAAUAUUGCGCAAUGGGGGAAACUCUGACGCAGUGACGCCGCGUGCAGGAAGAAGGUUUUCGGAUUGUAAACUGCUUUAGACAGGGAAGAAUAAAGACAGUACCUGUAGAAUAAGCUCCGGCUAACUACGUGCCAGCAGCCGCGGUAAUACGUAGGGAGCAAGCGUUAUCCGGAUUUAUUGGGUGUAAAGGGUGCGUAGACGGGAAAUUAAGUUAGUUGUGAAAUCCCUCGGCUUAACUGAGGAACUGCAACUAAAACUGGUUUUCUUGAGUGCUGGAGAGGAAAGUGGAAUUCCUAGUGUGGCGGUGAAAUGCGUAGAUAUUAGGAGGAACACCAGUGGCGAAGGCGACUUUCUGGACAGUAAUUGACGUUGAGGCACGAAAGUGUGGGGAGCAAACAGGAUUAGAUACCCUGGUAGUCCACACCGUAAACGAUGGAUACUAGGUGUAGGGUGUGAUAAACAUUCUGUGCCGUCGCAAACGCAAUAAGUAUCCCACCUGGGGAGUACGGCCGCAAGGUUGCAACUCAAAGGAAUUGACGG